rnacentral:rRNA from 1 species
AAAAGCUCCGGCAGUAUAGGAUGGUCCCGCGUCUGAUUAGCUGGUUGGCGGGGUAACGGCCCACCAAGGCGACGAUCAGUAGCCGGCUUGAGAGAGUGGACGGCCACAUUGGGACUGAGACACGGCCCAAACUCCUACGGGAGGCAGCAGUGGGGAAUAUUGCACAAUGGGGGAAACCCUGAUGCAGCGACGCCGCGUGAGUGAAGAAGUAUUUCGGUAUGUAAAGCUCUAUCAGCAGGGAAGAAAAAAGACGGUACCUGACUAAGAAGCCCCGGCUAACUACGUGCCAGCAGCCGCGGUAAUACGUAGGGGGCAAGCGUUAUCCGGAAUUACUGGGUGUAAAGGGUGCGUAGGUGGCAUGGUAAGUCAGAAGUGAAAGCCCGGGGCUUAACCCCGGGACUGCUUUUGAAACUGUCAUGCUGGAGUGCAGGAGAGGUAAGCGGAAUUCCUAGUGUAGCGGUGAAAUGCGUAGAUAUUAGGAGGAACACCAGUGGCGAAGGCGGCUUACUGGACUGUCACUGACACUGAUGCACGAAAGCGUGGGGAGCAAACAGGAUUAGAUACCCUGGUAGUCCACGCCGUAAACGAUGGAUACUAGGUGUCGGGGCCGUAGAGGCUUCG